rnacentral:lncRNA from 1 species
CACUGGUUUUCUUUCUGUGUUGAAAGAUUUGCCUUUUCCAGGCAUGUUAUAUACAUGGACUCAUGCAGUAUGUGGUAUUUUGCAUCAGCCUCUUUCACAUAGCAUCAUGCUUUUGAGGUUCAUCCAUAAAUUGUAGCAUGUGUUAGUAUUUCAUUCCUUCUAAUUGCUGAAUGGUAUUCCUGCAUCUCAAUUUUUAGCUUGGUGUUUUGGCGUAGCGUGGACGCACAGACCCAUCUAAAGGACGUCACUUUGACUUAAGAAUUAACAACCACAUGUUAAGAGUUUGAAAAAGAAACAAGACCAAAGGCUAUUUUACGCAGGUGGACCUUGCAAGCGCGGGCUCCGACCGGGUCACCUGCAGGGCAACCGGGCCAGACCGCAGGCUCAGCCACCUCCCCGGGACCGACGAGAGGCAGCCCCGGCGGCGGGAUCGGAAAUCCUUUCCGCCGGCGUGGAGGCGGCAGCCGGGACUCCCCACCCGGGAGGGGGCGCCGGGGCGCGCAGGUGCAGCCGCGCCUCCUGCGGGGUGCGCCCCCGGCGGCCGCGGGCAGGUGGGGGUGGGGUCCCGGGUUGACGGGGCUGUCCUCUCGUGCGCUGCUCAGUCCAUUUGUCAAGGUCCCUCAUCAGAUAAAUAGCUGUCUCCGCAGACCUUUAUAGUGACUAAUGCAAAUAAAUCGCAGUCACUUUUACUGAGCGCUGGGGCGGGCGGCGGGGCUCUAAUGGCCCCGCGGCGCAGACCUCCGGGGAAGGGCCCAGCCCAGCGCGCCCAGCGCCCCGGG